AAGUGUGAUAAUUUAGUUAUGCGUUUCAAAAUGUCAGGCAAUAGAACAUAAGGCAAAGACUAUCCGUUAAACUGGCGAAAGCUCGGAAAACUACAGCCAAGAAAAACGAUGACGAAAUCAAAAAAGGCAGGGACUGCAUAGUUCAGAGUGACACCUGAGAUGAAAGACGUAGAGGACUAAUCCACAAAAGGAGCUCAUGUGGAAAGGGUAACUUUUCGAAAGACUUCAGCCUUUAAGUCAGCUUGCACUGGUUUUUUCACGUGUUUAUAUGGUAUCCUGGAGGAUUAAAAGGACAUAAUUUGCUAUUGGUUCUAGUAUUGUGGUUGCUGGAACAACAGACUUGACCGAUGGCAGCCACAAACUGCUGAUUUCCAGGCUUCGGUCUGUUUAAUGAUGAUUUCAUUGUGUUGAUGUAGAAAGAUUUUUCAUAGUUUCCACAAUUUAUCUGAAUUAAUGCAUCUGUAA